CAGAGUUGCAAAACUCCCAAACCCACUGUGAAUUUACCUGUCCUUGUUCCUUCGGUAGGCGGCCCCCGGGGGGGCUUCGCCGCAAGGCGCCUGCCGAGGGACAACCAAAACUCUUGUAUCUAAGUGUUCUCUGAGCAACUAUAAAAAAGUUAA
rnacentral:misc_RNA from 1 species